rnacentral:rRNA from 3 species
GGGUUGUGAGGUUAAGCGACUAAGCGUACACGGUGGAUGCCCUGGCAGUCAGAGGCGAUGAAGGGCGUGCUAAUCUGCGAUAAGCGCCGGUAAGGUGAUAUGAACCGUUAUAACCGGCGAUACCCGAAUGGGGAAACCCAGUGUGAUUCGUCACACUAUCAUUAACUGAAUCCAUAGGUUAAUGAGGCGAACCGGGGGAACUGAAACAUCUAAGUACCCCGAGGAAAAGAAAUCAACCGAGAUUCCCCCAGUAGCGGCGAGCGAACGGGGAGGAGCCCAGAGCCUGAAUCAGCAUGUGUGUUAGUGGAAGCGUCUGGAAAGGCGCGCGAUACAGGGUGACAGCCCCGUACACAAAAGCGCAUGUGCUGUGAGCUCGAUGAGUAGGGCGGGACACGUGGUAUCCUGUCUGAAUAUGGGGGGACCAUCCUCCAAGGCUAAAUACUCCUGACUGACCGAUAGUGAACCAGUACCGUGAGGGAAAGGCGAAAAGAACCCCGGCGAGGGGAGUGAAAAAGAACCUGAAACCGUGUACGUACAAGCAGUGGGAGCACCCUUUGGGUGUGACUGCGUACCUUUUGUAUAAUGGGUCAGCGACUUAUAUUCUGUAGCAAGGUUAACCGAAUAGGGGAGCCGGAGGGAAACCGAGUCUUAACCGGGCGUUAAGUUGCAGGGUAUAGACCCGAAACCCGGUGAUCUAGCCAUGGGCAGGUUGAAGGUUGGGUAACACUAACUGGAGGACCGAACCGACUAAUGUUGAAAAAUUAGCGGAUGACCUGUGGCUGGGGGUGAAAGGCCAAUCAAACCGGGAGAUAGCUGGUUCUCCCCGAAAGCUAUUUAGGUAGCGCCUCGUGAAUUCAUCUCCGGGGGUAGAGCACUGUUUCGGCUAGGGGGCCAUCCCGGCUUACCAACCCGAUGCAAACUGCGAAUACCGGAGAAUGUUAUCACGGGAGACACACGGCGGGUGCUAACGUCCGUCGUGAAGAGGGAAACAACCCAGACCGCCAGCUAAGGUCCCAAAGUCAUGGUUAAGUGGGAAACGAUGUGGGAAGGCCCAGACAGCCAGGAUGUUGGCUUAGAAGCAGCCAUCAUUUAAAGAAAGCGUAAUAGCUCACUGGUCGAGUCGGCCUGCGCGGAAGAUGUAACGGGGCUAAACCAUGCACCGAAGCUGCGGCAGCGACACUGUGUGUUGUUGGGUA